GAUGAAGAACGCAGCGAAAUGCUAUAAGUAAUGUGAAUUGCAGAAUUCAGUGAAUCAUCGAAUCUUUGAACGCACAUUGCGCCCGCCAGUAUUCUGGCGGGCAUGCCUGUCUGAGCGUCAUUUCAACCCUCAUGCCCCUAGGGCGUGGUGUUGGGGAUCGGCCAAAGCCCGCGAGGGACGGCCGGCCCCUAAAUCUAGUGGCGGACCCGUCGUGGCCUCCUCUGCGAAGUAGUGAUAUUCCGCAUCGGAGAGCGACGAGCCCCUGCCGUUAAACCCCCAACUUUCCAAGGUUGACCUCAGAUCAGGUAGGAAUACCCGCUGAACUUAAGCAUAUCAAUAAGCGGAGGA
rnacentral:misc_RNA from 1 species